UUGUACGCUCUGAAUUGAACAUUGCAUGCCUUUAAUCCUCAGAGCAAACUCGUGAAGUGAUAACUCCCAGUUUACAGUCAGAAACUUCAGAGAGGUUCAGUACCUUCGUUUAUAUCACACAGGCCUGAUCCCGGGACUAUCUAGCCCUGGCCCAUGUUCCUUGAUCUACUUUCUGACUACCUGAUAAUGACACUGAUCGGCUCCUGCAGUGGACACAACACAUUGUUGGUUGGAGUAAUUGUUCUUGAAAGCAAGCCAGACCCAGCCAUCACCUGCAUAAAACCCUCCUGUGGCUCCCCACUGGUCUCAGGACAGAUUCCAAACUCUUAGCCUGCCACUUAAGGCCCAGGGUCAUGGCCUCCUUAAGUUAUGCUGGGUUCUAAUUUCCUAAAUGGUCAACUCUUUCCUGCAGCCUGAGCUUCUUGUAACACUGACCACCUCUGUCCUUCACGACACAACUUGAUGUACACUUCCUCCAUGAAGCCUAUCCUCUCCCCAAUUCCAGACUCCAACUUCCCUCAGAGUGGAGACCACGUCAGUCCUGUUUAUGUGUCUUUCCAGUGCCAGGAAUAUACUAGAAGGCUUUCAGUAAAUGUAGAAUAAAUGAAUGGUUAAUGGGCUUGAA